UAUGCAAAAACAUGUGUUUAAUAGUGGC
rnacentral:piRNA from 1 species